UACGGAGGGGGCUAGCGUUAUUCGGAAUUAUUGGGCGUAAAGCGCACGUAGGCGGCUCUGUAAGUUGGAUGUGAAAUCCCUCGGCUCAACCAAGGAAGUGCAUCCAAAACUGUAGAGCUUGAGUACUAAAGAGGAUCGCGGAAUUCCCGGUGUAGAGGUGAAAUUCGUAGAUAUCGGGAGGAACACCAGUGGCGAAGGCGGCGAUCUGGGUAGAUACUGACGCUGAGGUGCGAAAGCGUGGGGAGCAAACAGG
rnacentral:rRNA from 1 species